UACGUAGGGACCGAGCGUUGUCCGGAAUUAUUGGGCGUAAAGAGCUCGUAGGCGGCUUGUCACGUCGGGUGUGAAAGCCCGGGGCUUAACCCCGGGUCUGCAUUCGAUACGGGCUAGCUAGAGUGUGGUAGGGGAGAUCGGAAUUCCUGGUGUAGCGGUGAAAUGCGCAGAUAUCAGGAGGAACACCGGUGGCGAAGGCGGGUCUCUGGGCCGAUACUGACGCUGAGGAGCGAAAGCGUGGGGAGCAAACAGG
rnacentral:rRNA from 1 species